rnacentral:rRNA from 1 species
AUGGCCAGCACGCCCACCGUUACCAAGUCGCCGCCGGCGCUCAUCCCGCCGGCGGGGCCUACCCCCUGCGGCACCCUCCCGCUCUCCUCCAUUGACAAGACCGUCGCCGGCUCCGGCUUUGUGAACCUUAUGCAGGUCUUUCCCCCGCCCUCAAUCGACCAGGGCACCGUCGCGGCCGUGGCCGCAAUGCGCGACGGGUUCGCGAGGGCGCUUGUACCCUACUAUCCAGUGGCCGGCCGCAUCGCCUCGAGCGGCCUCGCGGUGGACUGCACCGGGGAGGGCAUCUGGUUUGUGGAAGCCGCCGCGAGCUGCACGCUCGCUGACGUCGACGGCCUCGACUGCUGCCCGCUGCUCAUCCCAGGAGAGCUCCUCCUCCCUCGCCCUCCCCCCGGCGAGAAGCUCAACGACCUCAUCCUCAUGGCCCAGGCGACGAGGUUCACCUGCGGUGGGUUCGCCGUCGGGAUCCGCUUCAGCCACGCGGUUUUCGACGGACAUGGGGCUGCGCAGUUCCUUACGGCGGUGGGGGAGCUAGCGCGGGGCCUCAAGGCGCCGUCAGUGGCUCCGGUGUGGGACCGCGACGCGAUCCCAGACCCUCCAAGCCCGCUGCCGGGGCAGCUCACGGAGUUCAGGCUGGUGACCCAGGUGGUCGACAUCUCGGCGGAGAGCAUCGCGCGCGUGAAGGACGAGUUCAAGCAGGCUGCCGCGACAUCGACGGGGGAGGUGUGCUCCACCUUUGACGCGGUGACGGCCGUGGUGUUCAAGUGCCGCGCGCUGGCGCUGGCGUCGGCGCUCCCUGAGGACGUCGAGGUCCGGAUGGCCUUCGCCGCCAGCACGCGGCACCUUCUCCGCGGCGUGCUGCCGACCGUGGAGGGCUACUACGGCAACUGCGUAUUCCUGGCGUGCGCCACUAGGACAGGCAAGGCUGUCCGGGAGGCGGCGCUGGCGGAGGUGGUCGGCGCGGUACGGGAGGCGAAGGAGGCGGUUCCCGCUCGGUUCGCCGGCUGGAUGCGCGGCGUCGAGCAGUACGACGUGCCGCCGCUCGACUACAGCACAGUGACGUUGUCGGACUGGAGCCGUCUCGGCUUCGACGAGGUGGACUACGGCUUCGGUGCGCCUGGGUACGUGUUCCCGCUCAACGACCACGUCAACUUCGUCGCGGCGCUCAACUACGUCAGGCCGCCGGCACCCAGGCGUGGGGGCAUCCGGGUGGUGCUCCGCUGCGUCGAGGAGCCUCAUGCGGCCGCGUUCGCCGUCGAGCUCGCCAAGUUCGCCUAG